UGAAGUUCCAACAAGAUGUCACCUAUUUCUGGCACUGGAGGUUUAAUUUGGUGGCAUAGAUGUCUAGUUGGGGCAUUGUCUCCCUUAUUAUAUGAUGAUGUGGCUUAUAUUCCUUCCAUAUAUGUGUAUAUUUUAGGAAACUUCUGCAGUAGUGGACUUCCAUACAGCAUUUCCAAAGACCUAAGUGUUAUCUGUCCCUCUCCAGAUUCUCUUGAUGUUAACAUGUAUCGUGAGAAGCUUUUCAGUGCUGUCCUCAUUUUUUACAAAACAGUUUUCGUGAUUUUUUUUUUUUUUUACCAACAUAGCUUUUACCUCCUUAUUUGCAUCCCUUUCCUUUUUAAAAUGUAGACUUUCCAAACCAUCUGGAUUUUAUGUAAAUACUCCUAUUUUUGUGUUGGCAAAUAACCUAAUUUCUUUUAAAUACCAAUCUGGCUGGAAAAAACACUAACAUUGACCAAAUCUGAAGGGAUUUUGGUUGCAACACUUACCGUUUCUAUUCUUCUAGGGGAAGAUUUCCAACUUUAACCCUCAUUUAAACCUGUAUUUCACUUUUUGUGAUAAGAGGUAUCCAUUCAGUAACUAUAGCCUCUGUCUUGCAGGUGACAAUUUUGAGACCAUUUUUUAUUUCCUUUUCUCUGUAUUUGUGAUUUCACCACUGAAUUGUUACUGCAUAUUGUAAAAUCUGUAACAAAUGCUUAUUUACAGUAACCAUGUAUUUGGCUGAUUUCUUUGUCCAGCACUAUACAUGUUCUGUUUUCCUCUUGCAUUCAAUUCUUAUUUUAUUUUAGUGGUUCUUUCCUCCAGAUGAUAACUUAGAAUAGUUCAUACCUGACAAUGUAAUUUUGCUUGAAUCCACACUGUACAUUGGAAGUUGAAUUUUGGUUUCAGAGUAGCGUAUUUUGCACUUUUAAACUUAUGUUUUCACUGCCUACCUCUCUCAUGUUAUUAAUGAUACCGUUUAGUUCAUUAGCUGAUCUGUGCUGCUGCUCUCUAUGACCUCUCCACCUUGGAUGAUGAUGGUCAGCACACACAUUUGUGUUUAAAAUAUGUCUGUCAUAGUUUUUUCAAGCAUGUCCUCCACUCUGUGCAAAGGAUUCCUUGUUGCAGACAAUGUUAGGGAAAAAUGUUUAAAUAUGUCUUUAUUUUCUUUCCUUUUUUAAAGUUUUUAUUUAUUUUAUUUUUAAAUUUUUUAUUUUUAUUAUUUAUUUAUUUAUUUAUUUAUUUAUUCAUUUUUAUUUAUAGGAGUACACUGUAGCUGUCUUCAGACACACACCAGUAGAGUGUGCAUCAGAUCCCAUUACAGAUGGUUGUAAGCCACCAUGUGGUUACUGGGAAUUGAACUCAGGACCUACACGAGAGCAGUCAGUGCUCUUAACCUCUGAGUCAUCUCUCCAGCCCUUAUUUCUUUUAUAAGAUACUUUAUUUACAUUUCAAAUGUCAUCCCCUUUCCUAGUUUCCCCUCCAAAAAACCCUAUCCCCUGCCCUUCCCCUGCUCACCAACCCACCCACUCCUACUCUCUGUUUUGGCAUUCCCUUACAGUGGGACAUUGAGCCUUCUCUGGACCAAGGGCCUCUUCUCCCAUUGCCAGUGCCUGACAAAUAUAGAGUUGGAUGCUCUCAGCUAACCAUUGGACUGAACACAAGUCCCCAAUGGUAGAGCUAGAGAAAGGACCCAAGGAGCUGAAGGGGCUUUCAGUCCCAUAGGAGGAACAAAAUAUGGACCAACCAGUACCCUCCAGAGCUCCCAGGGACUAAACCACCAACCAAAGAGUACACAUGAAGGGACCCAUGGCUCCAGCCUCAUAUUUUUUUUCAAGACAUUUUGAACUUUUAGUUUUAGGGUUUUGUUUUUUUCUUCUGUGUAUUUUAAUGGAUUCUGGAAUACAAUCACAUAUGACCCUUGGGCUACUUGAUCUCUGCUCAUUGGUAGCAUGGCCUCUAAAAGCUCUCCUGUCCCUUGUAGCCAUCUCUCAGUUUAUAUUUUGUAUUCUGUUAUUUAAUUAUAACAGAAUUAUAAUGGUUUUGGGAGGAGUGGGAACAUCAGUGAGUUUUGCUUUGUUAUUUUGAUCCUGUCCCUUCUUCUCUACCUUAAUACGUACUGUAAACUUUUCUUUCAUAAACAUUGGUCAGUAUCCGUGAUGUUAAAGCCUGAAGAUUCUUUUCUGGGAGAAAAAAAGCUUUAAAAGAUUGGUCCUUAGCUGUCUUAAGGGCUUAGUUUCUUUUAGCUUUCAAAGUCUAUAAGCAACUUCAUCUUAAAAUUAAGCAUGUGAUUUGCUAUUACUUUUCCAUGAACAGCAGUUUGAGGAUUGAUCAUUUUAAAUGAAAACCAACUGAAUUUCAUUCUGUUCUCCCUGGCAUCCACACAGUCAUGUUGUGCUUUUAAGAAAAGUUACAUUAAUUUUCAGUAAGAUAUUGGCACAGGGCAGAUUAAAUUCUGAGAAACUAGAUCAUACACCGCAAAGGCUUGACGUUCUUGAAUGGUAAGAGGUAUUUGAAUUCUAGUGAUGUUGAUUGUGGUUUCUGAAGCCACAGGCGCGUAACCCCUCAAAGAUGGAUUCCAGUAGAAAGUAUGUUCUUGGCUUGAUCUUGUAGCAAUUGGCCAAAAAACUAUCCAUUGACUCAAACACUGCUGUGCAGUUAUGUUGUGUCAUAAAGCAUCAGGGUCUUCAUCCAUCACUGAGAGCCCCACAGCAGGUUUUCUGGGAUUACGAGUGGCGUUAAACCCAGCCAAUUGCUUGUCGCAGUUUCAACAGACUUGUAGACAUUUUAUCCUCACUUCCCUUGGGAACUUCCUGUGAAAGUUUCCCUUAAUAAAGGACAUCACUGACAUGGCUCUGAGAGUGAAGAGAGUCCGUAUUCCCUUGCAGCUGAUCUAGAUAUUGUAAUAACAGAGCGCAAGUUCUAAUAGCUGAUCAUGAGUCAGCCACUCCUCCCCUCUGUUUAUGUAUUAUAAUUUUUCCCUGUGUUGAAACUCUGGCUCCUACACUGCAUGGACCAUUCCAUACAUUUCAUGUCAUUAUUGAUGCUCAAAGGAUCAAAUGAUUGUACACCACUUUUUAGCAGUGAGGUCAUCAGAUCUGCUGAAAGUAUAAUUUGCAUACAAAUAUAAAAGUUGUGACCCUGGAAAUGUUUAAAUAAAGUAUUAGCGGGCACAAUGCUCAGUUAUUUCCCAGGCAUGUUAAUGUGAUGAACUCAUCAUCUUAGCAUGUGUUGUAACAUGGGAAAAGGAAGGCUAAUACAUGCUAAAUUUCCCUUUUUAGAACUUAAGGAAUUAAAUUAUUCUAUUAGUUUCUAUUGCAGUAGCUAUAACAAUAUUUUAAUGUAUUCCUCAAUACGCCUCAUUGCUAGUAAGAUUUUAAUAUUUGAAAGGGGAGGGUUUUUCCUUCUGUCUACAGACUGAACAAAUGAUUCUAGUGCUUUGCGAUUGUUCAGGGGAGACUUAUGGGGUCACAUUGAUGUCACUACAGACCAAUAGGCAGCUUCACAUACCUGCCUUUGCAUUCAAAUGGUCACUGGAAUCCAUUUUAUGGUCGCAUUUUAUAGUUGUACACAAUAAUGUGUUUCACUAUGAAAUGAAGAAAAAGAAUUUAACUGUUUUUUGGUGAGGUUUAAAUAAUUUUGAGUAAUUUGAGGGGAAAACUAUUCAUAAGUAUGAUAAACUGAAAUAAGCACAAAGGGACACUUUUUAUAACACUGAGUUAUACAUACACAUAUAUAAAGCACAUAUGUACUAUAUGUAUAUGAAUUCAUAUAUGUGCAUGUAUAUAAUAGACACACACAGACAUGUACACACAUUGAAUUGUUAUGUUUAUGUAAAUAUGCAGGUAGCUGAAAGCACUAAGUGUGUGGCACCUGUGCAGUGCACCAGGCAAUGUGUGCAGCACAUGAGCACUAAAGGGAAACUCUGUGCACAGCUGAGUGUACACAUUUUUAUUUAACAAUUCAGUUUGUUACAGUGAGUCUCAAGGAGAAGGGAUUUAUGAAUGUUUAUUCUUAGUGAGGCUUACUGGGUAUCUCUAGUGGAUCUUGGCCUCAUUCAAAGCACAAACUGAAAAUUCCUUCUCAGUUCUUUUCUUUCAAAGAAACAGGUGAAAAAAAAAUAACCAGCUUAAGUGAUCAUUGAAAGAUUCCAAGAUAACCAUAUAAAAUAGUUGUUUCCUUCUGUAUGCAAGGGGUUUCUGAAAGGCCUAACAGUGCUGUAAGUAAGGUUGGCUGAUAUCAAUGGUAAGAUAGUACUGCAUUGUGACUUGAGGGGACAAUUAGGAAAGUGUUCUAGUGUUUGUACCCCCAAAUCACUGCCUUAGUAUAAAUGGCACCCCCAGAACCUACGUACAAGAAACCCAUUCAGAUAGGAGCAUUUGUGCCAUUUAUCUGAAUGAAAUCUGGUGGGUCCCAUAAAUUUUCUUUAUCUGAAUUAGAUUCAGUCAUAGUUUGAAAUGAUUGAAUGUUGACCUAAGAACUUAAGGUGGAAUAAGAAGCUGCUAAGAAAAACACUGAAACCAGGUAGGGUUAAGCGCUGUCUGGGUCUCAGACCCAGGAGCUAUAGUUCAUUAUGAGAAACCCUGACUGAGCCACUUAGAAAGAUGAGCUCUGUCACCAUAGCAACACUAGGACCACUUCUGCAGAUCUUAGUGGUUCCUGCCAAUCAGCUCCGGCCCUGAACCAUCAAAUCCACUUACAAUGAUGCCAGAUGCUCCACACUCAAGGAUAUAUAUAUAAAAAAUGUCCAGAUGUGCCACAGGCAGAGGAGGUGUAAUUUUUUCUUUGAAAAUUCUCUUUUCCUUCUUUAUAUGAUAGAAUAUAUUGCAAAAUCUAACUAUUCUACUUGGUGU
rnacentral:lncRNA from 1 species